UAAUUGCAGAUUGACAUUGAAUCAGUGCAGUUGUCAACACUCAACUCAAACUCGAGUUAUAAUAAAAGCGUGAAAAGUUUAAACAAUGUACGUGCAUCUAACAAAAAUAGUAAUUUUGAUAGAACGAUGAAUGUACCUAAUCUCGCAAAUUGCACUAGUGUACGAGAAGUUGGCGAAAUCAGUAAACAAAAAUGCAAGGAAGUGUAUUUGAAUAGAAUAGUGGAAAAAAUAAUUGGAGGCGGUGGAUACGAUGCACAAGCUCGAGAAUAUCCCCAUAUGGUUUACACCGCCAUAUUUUUAUUUUAGGUGGCAUUGGGUUAUGAUCAUGAUAAUGAAGUAAAAUGGGGUUGUGGAGGAUCUUUAGUCAGUGACAAAUUUGUCUUGACUGCAGCACAUUGUAUUGAUACUGCGAUUGGUCCUGUUAAAUAUGUGCGUCUUGGUGCACUGAAACUUGU